UCUCGACAAUCCAGUCGAGGCGCCACCCCGCGCUCCCGCUCCCGCCCCUGCGAGGGGGCGCGCCUCUCACUACUCAAACCAGCAGCAUCCGCAUGGAUUACCCGCAGGGACGAGCGCAGAGACAACCGGAGCAAUGUGUCUUCCGAGCACAUGAUUGCUGGAGCCUCUGAGGAGACAAAAAGAAAGAAAGAGAAAAAGUCACGUUGGGGACAAUCUCAAGACAUGUCCAACCCUGAGAAUGUCCAUGUGGCUGGAGGUCAGGAAACAUUACACAAUAUUUGUUUAGACCCCGGCUAUUGUUUCAGGAGAGUGGGCUUCCCUUCCUGGAGGACUGAAAUACAGGCCCCAAAAAUAUUUCUCAACUGUUGUCCUGGGUGUAUUAUCUCUGUCAGCACUGCAGUAACAGACCCACAAAACCAGCAUCUCUGGCCAAAACAGAAAUGACUGCUGAAGCGAAAGCAGUUGGUGUUUCAACAUGAGCAUGACAAAGCUUUGCCUGCAGCUGCAGG